GGAGGGGGGGGAGGGAUAAGAUUUUUAGGAGGUUAUUUUUCAGAUUUUCUAUUUUUUAUUGUUUAUUAUUUUUCGGUGAAAAGUUCAUCGGAGUUCUGCCGGAAUCCGACAAGCCCACCCCCAAAAGACCCCAGUUGCUCUAACCCGUUCCUUUCUCCAUUUUUUCCAGUGAAUAGCUUCCCCAGCACCAUACAUUCAACGACCUGGAAAAUAACAAAGAGAGCCACCUGAAAGGUCACUGCCAGCAAACAAUUCCAUCACGAAACCAGACCACAAACCUCCAUCUCCUUCAUCAUUCCAAACGAGAUUCCUCUCUGUUCUCCCUCACAAAGACCAACAACCAAACAAAACUCCUAACCAGACCCUUUCUAUAUCAGACUCACACUUCCAUUUUUUCCAGACCACCACCAAAUCACCCCUUUUCCCUCUCCGACCAGACUCAAAAAACCCGACCCCAAACCACCCACACCACCAGAACCUCGCCAGAAAUAACUAAAACACACCCACGGGAGAACCUACAUGAAGUCGUUCCUCCACCAUCAGGCCCCAUCUCGUCCAAAUGGCCACCAACGAACCAAACCCCUUGAUUUUUCAAACCAAAAUCGACCUCCACAGCCACCAGUACUCCCAUCUUUUUCGGUAAAACCCCGACCCAUUUUUCCAUUUCUCGUUUCCAACAACAAACUAGUCCCCCUUCCCCUUACCCCUUUGAUUUUUGUUUAUUUGUUUGUAUUAAUAGGUAUUUCAACCCAAAUCCAGCGAAACCAGAGAAUCAAAAGCUCCGACCGAACCACUCCACCAUGGAAACUUCCAAAUAUGCCGAGGAAAGAUUCAUAUCUGAAUUCGUCGAACACACUUUCAGCAGCCUUCUCAAGCAUCUUGAGCCAUAGUUUCACAACCUGAUCGUCAACAUGUCGUCUUUCAGCAUCAUGAAUGAAAGCUUGGAUUAAGAAUACAUUUUGUGUAAGCAUUUCUAGAUCUUUCUUGCAGUCCCUUGAGCUACUGAGUUCCUCGAUGGUGAGAGAAAGCAGCUUCUCAAGCAAAACUUGAACAGUAGCACCAAUUACAAGGUCUGCCAUUGUUGUAAAAGUUCUUGCACAAAGUCUUCUUCUAAGAAAUUUCUUUUUUUGCUUUGCGGACUACAAGAAAAACAAUAAUUUGAAUAUAGAGAAUAAUUCAUACUCAAUGACUUUGAAUAAAGAAUCACUUUUAGUUGGCCA